rnacentral:rRNA from 1 species
GACGAACGCUGGCGGCGUGCUUAACACAUGCAAGUCGAACGAUGAAGCCGGAGCUUGCUCUGGUGAAUUAGUGGCGAACGGGUGAGUAACACGUGAGUAACCUGCCCUUGACUAUGGGAUAACUGCGGGAAACUGUAGCUAAUACCGGAUACGACUCUCGGAGGCAUCUCCUGGGGGUGGAAAGAAUUUCGGUCAAGGAUGGACUCGCGGCCUAUCAGCUAGUUGGCGAGGUAAGGCCUCACCAAGGCGACGACGGGUAGCCGGCCUGAGAGGGUGACCGGCCACACUGGGACUGAGACACGGCCCAGACUCCUACGGGAGGCAGCAGUGGGGAAUAUUGCACAAUGGGCGCAAGCCUGAUGCAGCAACGCCGCGUGAGGGAUGACGGCCUUCGGGUUGUAAACCUCUUUUAGCAGGGAAGAAGCGAAAGUGACGGUACCUGCAGAAAAAGCACCGGCUAACUACGUGCCAGCCGCCGCCGUAA